CCUACGGGUGGCAGCAGUGAGGAAUAUUGGUCAAUGGACGAGAGUCUGAACCAGCCAAGUAGCGUGAAGGAUGACUGUCCUAUGGGUUGUAAACCUCUUUUAUCAAGGAACAAAACGAGGCACGUGUGCCUUUUCGAAUGUACUCUAUGAAUAAGGAUCGGCUAACUCCGUGCCAGCAGCCGCGGUAAUACGGAGGAUGCGAGCGUUAUCCGGAUUUAUUGGGUUUAAAGGGAGCGUAGAUGGGUAGUUAAGUCAGGUGUGAAAGUUUGGGGCUCAACCGUAAUAGUGCAGUUGAUACUGGCGGUCUUGAGUACAGUAGAGGUAGGCGGAAUGCGUGGUGUAGCGGUGAAAUGCAUAGAUAUCACGAAGAACUCCGAUUGCGAAGGCAGCUUACUA
rnacentral:rRNA from 1 species